GAUUUUGAAGGCUCCCAGUCGAUAAGAGGCAUCUGGAAACAAAAUAUAUAAUAUGCAAAAACUUCAGAAAAUGUCGAAUACGUACGAGUUAGUCAAAAACUCAUUAAUUUAUAUAGAUUUAAAAAUAGACUCCGCCCAUAUCUUGUAUUUCGUUAAAUGAAUACUUUUUUCUUAA
ensembl:ncRNA K04G7.14 ncRNA